rnacentral:misc_RNA from 1 species
AACGCACAUUGCGCCCCUUGGCAUUCCUUGGGGCAUGCCUGUUCGAGCGUCACUACAAACCCUCUCACGUAUACCGUGGUAUUGAUGGUAGUGGGUUGCAGUUGCCGACACGACUGCUCCACUCUGUUGAAAUAUAUAGGCAGAACAGUUGGCCUUAGUAACAGACUUAGUAAAUGUUGUUAGCACAUAAACCAGUCUCUUACUAGGUCAGGUCCUGCCUUCCUGGACCCCCAUCUAAAAUGAAUUCUGGGUUGACCUCGGAUCAGGUAGGGAUACCCGCUGAACUUAA